rnacentral:rRNA from 1 species
UACGUAGGGCGCAAGCGUUGUCCGGAAUUAUUGGGCGUAAAGAGCUCGUAGGCGGUCUGUUGCGUCUGCUGUGAAAACUCGGGGCUUAACCCCGAGCCUGCAGUGGAUACGGGCAGACUAGAGGUAGGUAGGGGAGAAUGGAAUUCCCGGUGUAGCGGUGAAAUGCGCAGAUAUCGGGAGGAACACCGAUGGCGAAGGCAGGUCUCUGGGCCACUACUGACGCUGAGAGCGAAAGCAUGGGGAGCGAACAGG